UCCAGACUCCUACGGGAGGCAGCAGUGAGGAAUAUUGGUCAAUGGGCGGAAGCCUGAACCAGCCAAGUCGCGUGAGGGAAGAAGGCCCUGCGGGUCGCAGACCUCUUUGGACGGGGAGCAAGGCCGCCGACGUGUCGGCGGAAGGAGAGUACCCGUAGAACAAGCAUCGGCUAACUCCGUGCCAGCAGCCGCGGUAAUACGUAGGGGGCAAGCGUUAUCCGGAUUUACUGGGUGUAAAGGGAGCGUAGACGGCCAUUCAAGCCAGAUGUGAAAGCCCGGGGCUCAACCCCGGGACUGCAUUUGGAACUGUGUGGCUAGAGUGUCGGAGAGGCAGGCGGAAUUCCUAGUGUAGCGGUGAAAUGCGUAGAUAUUAGGAGGAACACCAGUGGCGAAGGCGGCCUGCUGGACGAUGACUGACGUUGAGGCUCGAAAGCGUGGGGAGCAAACAGGAUUAGAUACCCCCGUAUCG
rnacentral:rRNA from 1 species